rnacentral:rRNA from 1 species
AGAUUGAACGCUGGCGGCAUGCUUUACACAUGCAAGUCGAACGGCAGCACGGGGGCAACCCUGGUGGCGAGUGGCGAACGGGUGAGUAAUGCAUCGGAACGUAUCUUUAAGUGGGGGAUAACGCAUCGAAAGAUGCGCUAAUACCGCAUAAUCUCUGAGGAGAAAAGCAGGGGAUCGCAAGACCUUGCGUCUUUUUGGAGCGGCCGAUGUCUGAUUAGCUAGUUGGUGGGGUAAAGGCUUACCAAGGCUUCGAUCAGUAGCUGGUCUGAGAGGACGACCAGCCACACUGGGACUGAGACACCGGCCCAGACCUCCGUACGGGAGGCAGCGAGUGGGGUAAGUUUUUUGGAACAAGGUUAGGGGGGAAACCCUGAUCGACGCCAUCGCCGCGUCGAGUGAAAGGAAGGCCGUUCGGUUAGGUAAGUC